rnacentral:ncRNA from 1 species
AGUCUUCAGGGCAGGGUGCAAGUCCCUACCGGUGGUAAAGCCCACGAGCCGCGAGGCAGAUUCGGUUAGAUUCCGAAGCCGACAGUACAGUCUGGAUGAGAGAAGACG